CAGCAGGCCUCCUAAGAGUCUCUGGUUGGACUCCAGAGAGAGGCCAUGAAGGAAGCGGACAAACAGGUCCAGGUGGCCAUUUUUACUCCUCAGGGAUUUCUCCAUGGCUCUCUUCAGGAAGACAUCCAGGGAUGGUCUUCUCCCAGGAAGUCCUUGAGUACCUGUGUGUUCCUGUUGGUGUAACAGUGGAACAGGUAGACUGCAGCCAGAAA